GCCACAAAUCUAGCUUUACACACACCACAGACCCUCCCACACACUACCUAUUUAUGAUAAAACAUUUUCAUGUCUUAGUAGAGGCGAUCAAAAAAUUACUAAACGCUUCAGAACUAGUACCGCAAGGGAAAGAUGAAAUAAAAAUGAAAUAGUUUAAAGCCAGAAACAGCAGAGACCCCCCCCUCGUACCUUUUGCAUCAUGGUCUAACUAGUCCCCUCAGGGAAAACGAAAUUUAAGUCUGACCCCCCGAAACUAAGCGAGCUACUUCAAAACAGCCUGGCAGGGCCAACCCGUCUCUGUUGCAAUAAAGUGGGAAGAUUUUCAAGUAACGAUGACAAGUCUACCGGGCUUAAAGAUAGCUGGGUACUCAAAAAAAGAAUAUUAGUUCUGCCUUAAACUUUCUUAUUAUAAAUAAAAACAAACUAAGUUUAAGAGUUACUCAAAUAAGGGACAGCUUAUUUGAACCUGGAUACAACCUCUUCUACAGGGCCCACCCAACCUCCCCCAACCAAGUAGGCCUAAUACCAGCCACCUUUCAAAAAGCGUUACAGCUUCUCUACCCCCCCCCCCCCCCUAAUACCUCCCCCACCCGUCAACCCUACUCCCCCAUUGAGUAAUUCUAUUCCUCAUAGAAAUUAUAAUGUUAGAACUAGUAACAAGAAAACGAUUUUCUCCUUAAUGCAUGCUUAAAUCAUACGGACAAGCCACUGAUAAUUAACGUUUACUGAUCCCACUAUAACAACCCCCCCCCGAAAACACUAUUCCCCUAAACGUCUACCUCACACCAGAGCAUUUCAGGAAAGAUUAAAAGAAAAAGAAGGAACUCGGCAAACUUUGGCCCCGCCUGUUUACCAAAAACAUCGCCUCUUGCUUAAAAGUAUAAGAGGUCCCGCCUGCCCAGUGACAAAGUUCAACGGCCGCGGUACUCUGACCGUGCGAAGGUAGCAUAAUCACUUGUUCUUUAAUUGAGGACUCGUAUCAACGGCAUCACGAGGGCCACACUGUCUCCUUUUUCCAAUCAGUGAAACUGAUCUCCCCGUGAAGAAGCGGGGAUAAUCCUAUAAGACGAGAAGACCCCAUGGAGCUUUAAACCCAACAGCAACUCUGAAUAACUAAACCACAAAAAUUAAUUGAGCCCUGUAAUUGUUGGUUUUAGGUUGGGGUGACCGCGGAGCAUAGACAAACCUCCACGACGAACGGGACUAAACCCUAAUCCAUGAACUACUGUUCUAAGAAUCAAUACACUGACUUCUAAUGAUCCGAUCACUCGAUCAACGGACCAAGUUACCCUGGGGAUAACAGCGCUAUCCAUUUCAAGAGCCCCUAUCGACAAAUGGGUUUACGACCUCGAUGUUGGAUCAGGGUAUCCUAGUGGUGCA
rnacentral:rRNA from 1 species